rnacentral:lncRNA from 1 species
GUGACCUGCUUCUCCAACACGCUGGAGGGCCACUUCCUGACCCCACCAACCUGCCUCCUCCCCUCCGCCGCCGCCACCGCCUCGCCGUUCCUGGCGAGCAUGGCGCAGUACGACGGCGACGCGGGCGUGGGCGGCAUGGUGCACGAGCUCCUGCAGGAGGCCGGCGGGUGGUACAGCAAGCUGGGCGAGAGGGAGCGGCUGAGCGGCGGCGCGUCGCAGGACACCGGCGUCACCUCGGAGGUGAACCCCGCCGAGAUCUCCUCGACGCGGCACCACAUGGAUCACGAGGCCUCCUUUUGGGGCUUCUGAUGAACUCCCCCGUCUUUUCCGUUAUCGUUAAAAAAUUGGAUUAGAAUUAGUCACUGGAUUGGAAAUGGAGAUUGUAUUGUGCUAUUGAAUGAAUACUGUUAUGUGCAAAUGGGGC